ACUCCUACGGGAGGGCAGCAGUGGGGGAAGUCUUUGGACAAUGGGCGGCAAGCCUGAUCCAGCCAUGCCGCGUGAGUGAUGAAGGCCCUAGGGUCGUAAAGCUCUUUCGCCAGGGAUGAUAAUGACAGUACCUGGUAAAGAAACCCCGGCUAACUCCGUGCCAGCAGCCGCGGUAAUACGGAGGGGGUUAGGCGUUGUUCGGAAUUACUGGGGCGUAAAGCGCGCGUAGGCGGAUUAGUCAGUUAGAGGUGAAAUCCCAGGGCUCAACCCUGGAACUGCCUUUAAUACUGCUAGUCUUGAGUUCGAGAGAGGUGAGUGGAAUUCCGAGUGUAGAGGUGAAAUUCGUAGAUAUUCGGAGGAACACCAGUGGCGAAGGCGGCUCACUGGCUCGAUACUGACGCUGAGGUGCGAAAGUGUGGGGAGCAAACAGGAUUAGAUACCCUGGUAGCGACUGA
rnacentral:rRNA from 1 species